UACGGAGGGGGCUAGCGUUGUUCGGAAUUACUGGGCGUAAAGCGCACGUAGGCGGCUUUGUAAGUUAGAGGUGAAAGCCCGGAGCUCAACUCCGGAACUGCCUUUAAGACUGCAUCGCUAGAACGUUGGAGAGGUAAGUGGAAUUCCGAGUGUAGAGGUGAAAUUCGUAGAUAUUCGCAAGAACACCAGUGGCGAAGGCGGCUCACUGGCCCGAUACUGACGCUGAGGUGCGAAAGCGUGGGGAGCAAACAGG
rnacentral:rRNA from 1 species